UCCCACAAUUCUCUGCUGCUGACUCAGUUUUCCCAUGAUUCCCCACUGCUGACCCUUUUUUGUUGUUGUUGUUGUUGUUGUUUCCUUUGACCCUCCAAGUGGGUUUGGUUAUAUUUCCCAUGACCUUCUACAGGAUAUACGAUUGUGACCGCGACAUGAAGGCAUCUUCUGCAGAGACCAUUUCCAAAGGUCACAUUUGACAGCUACCAUCAUCAAGUAACUAGACCAGUCCUCAUGGCAUGUGAUUGACUUAAAGAGGCUAGAAAGCUGGGAAAGAUUUGGGGCAAAGAAGCUUGUCUUCCUGUAGCCAUCAGCUUGUGACGGAGAGGAAGCUGUGGCUGUGAGGAUUCCCUUCACUGGGAUUAGAAUCCACUUCUUUAGGAUUCUAACAUAACUGGGACACCAGGAGUUCUCUAAGAAUUCCUUGGGAAUCUAGCACCAGAUUGAGACUGCUGAUACAUCAAGUGGAGUAGACUGAAGAACUUCCUCUUCUCUGCCUUUUGAAUGAGAGACAGCCAUCGUUGGACUACUCAGACCACAGUCUGUAAACCAUCCUAAUAAACACCCUUAUGAUCUAUCUAUCCAUCUAUCUAUCCAUCUAUCUAUCUAUCUAUCUAUCUAUCUA